rnacentral:rRNA from 1 species
UACGUAGGGGGCAGGCGUUGAUCGGAAUUACUGGGCGUAAAGCGUGCGUAGGCGGCUCCUUAAGUCAGAUGUGAAAGCCCCGGGCUUAACCUGGGAACUGCGUUUGAAACUGGGGAGCUGGAGUGUAGAAGAGGGGGGUGGAAUUCCAGGUGUAGCAGUGAAAUGCGUAGAUAUCUGGAGGAACACCGAUGGCGAAGGCAGCCCCCUGGGCUAACACUGACGCUCAUGCACGAAAGCGUGGGGAGCAAACAGG